AACGAACGUUGGCGGCGUGGAUGAGGCAUGCAAGUCGAACGCGAAAGCCGCAAGGUGAGUAGAGUGGCGGACGGGCGAGUAACACGUAAUCAAGCUGCCUGCGAGACGGGGAUAACCUCGGGAAACCGAGGCUAAGACCCGAUGGUUUGCGGUGACCGCAUGGUUGCUGCAAUAAAUGGGCGGGAUCCUCCGGGAUCGCCUGCUCGCAGAGGUGAUUGCGGCCCAUCAGCUAGUUGGUAGGGUAACGGCCUACCAAGGCAACGACGGGUAGCCGGCCUUAGAGGGUGGUCGGCCGCACUGGGACUGAGACACUGCCCAGACUCCUACGGGAGGCUGCAGUCGAGAAUCUUCCGCAAUGGGCGCAAGCCUGACGGAGCGACGCCGCGUGGAGGACGAAGGCCUUCGGGUUGUAAACUCCUGUCACGAGUUAAGAAGGUGCUGCUGCGAACAGCGGUAGCAUUUGACGUAAGCUCGAGAGGAAGCACUGGCUAACUCUGUG
rnacentral:rRNA from 1 species